GACGAACGCUGGCGGCGUGCUUAACACAUGCAAGUCGAGCGGUAAGGCCCUUUCGGGGGUACGACGAGCGGCGAACGGGUGGAGUAACACGUGGGUGGACCUCGCCCUCCAGCUCUGGGAGUAAGCCUGGGAAACCGGGGUCUAAUACUGGAUAUGACUCCAUGACGCAUGUUGUGGGGUGGAAAGCCUUGUGCGGCUGAGGAUGGGCCCGCGGCCUAUCAGCUUGUUGGUGGGGUGAUGGCCUACCAAGGCGACGACGGGUAGCCGG
rnacentral:rRNA from 1 species